UACGAAGGGGGCUAGCGUUGUUCGGAAUUACUGGGCGUAAAGGGCGCGUAGGCGGCCCGAUCAGUCAGAUGUGAAAGCCCCGGGCUCAACCUGGGAACUGCAUUUGAUACUGUCGGGCUUGAGUUCCGGAGAGGAUGGUGGAAUUCCCAGUGUAGAGGUGAAAUUCGUAGAUAUUGGGAAGAACACCGGUGGCGAAGGCGGCCAUCUGGACCGACACUGACGCUGAGGCGCGAAAGCGUGGGGAGCAAACAGG
rnacentral:rRNA from 1 species